AGUCGAGCGAACAGACGAGGAGCUUGCUCCUCUGACGUUAGCGGCGGACGGGUGAGUAACACGUGGAUAACCUACCUAUAAGACUGGGAUAACUUCGGGAAACCGGAGCUAAUACCGGAUAAUAUAUUGAACCGCAUGGUUCAAUAGUGAAAGACGGUUUUGCUGUCACUUAUAGAUGGAUCCGCGCCGCAUUAGCUAGUUGGUAAGGUAACGGCUUACCAAGGCAACGAUGCGUAGCCGACCUGAGAGGGUGAUCGGCCACACUGGAACUGAGACACGGUCCAGACUCCUACGGGAGGCAGCAGUAGGGAAUCUUCCGCAAUGGGCGAAAGCCUGACGGAGCAACGCCGCGUGAGUGAUGAAGGUCUUCGGAUCGUAAAACUCUGUUAUUAGGGAAGAAUAAAUGUGUAAGUAACUAUGCACGUCUUGACGGUACCUAAUCAGAAAGCCACGGCUAACUACGUGCCAGCAGCCGCGGUAAUACGUAGGUGGCAAGCGUUAUCCGGAAUUAUUGGGCGUAAAGCGCGCGUAGGCGGUUUUUUAAGUCUGAUGUGAAAGCCCACGGCUCAACCGUGGAGGGUCAUUGGAAACUGGAAAACUUGAGUGCAGAAGAGGAAAGUGGAAUUCCAUGUGUAGCGGUGAAAUGCGCAGAGAUAUGGAGGAACACCAGUGGCGAAGGCGACUUUCUGGU
rnacentral:rRNA from 1 species